AGCAAAUCUUUCUCUACCCAUCCACAUGCUCUCUCUGGCCUCUUUAUCACAAGGGAUUACAUGGUGGGAAAGCUGAUCUGGAGUAACAAGUACUUCAUUCUCCUUACAUUCGUGUACAGGAAUUGAUGUUAAACAAUCUUAAAUCUUGAAUCUUUGCCAAGACUAUGGACCAAAUGCAUAUAAAAGGGACUAUUAUAGGUGAGCACAAAGCUCAUGGUGAGAGCUACAGCUUGGAAAAGGCACUUCUGGACAAGCAAGCCCCACUACCCAGCAGCCUGCCUAUUGAACCAACCCCAGCCUAACCAUGGGACAAGAAGACCACAACCUCAUCGUGGGUUGGAGACUUGUAUGCCUCAAUGACAACCACAGCAAUGUUGGCUGGAGUCAGGGCUUUAUGCUUUGUGUUUUGGUAGGGUCAUCCAUGCCAAACAGGUCAACGGGCAGAGGACAGACUAAGAGUGGUUUACUGGUUCUCCAGGUUUGUGGGUUCAGCUCAGGGCUAACAACCCUGACUGAUAAAUCAAAACUGUUACAGAAAUAGCAAUGAAGAAGGACAUCUGAGUGUGAAGGUUUUCCUGAGUCUCAAUGUGGAACUUGCAUGAUGGGCAAUCAUGAAAACCAGGCUACUGCCACAGUGAAGGAAGUCCUGAAUGGCCUUCAGAAGUGGAGGACCUUCAUUGCUGCUCUGAACUCCAGUGGUGUAAUGGACAGUAGGGAAUCAUGGAACAAAUUACAAUGACCAAUUAACCUACUAAACAGUAUGUCUUUGGUUUGUGGGGAGAAACCAGAGCACGUGCUCACGAGAAGGACAUACAAACUUCUUACAGAGGGUGUCAGAAUGGAACUCUGAACUCUGAGGCCCUGAGCUGUAAUUGUGUCACACUAGCAGUUACACUACUGUGGCAACCCCAAAUAAUAAUGCUAUCAAAGAGCAGGUGUAGGCAAGUUCAGGUAAAUGGCCUUGAUCUCUGCUGUUGAGAAGAUUGCCAAAAGAUAUGAUCUGAUAUAGAUCAGUCACAAAAUCGAGUGUAGAAAUGGCAGAUGGAGUUUAAUCUGGCCAGAUGUUGCAUUUUGCGAUAUCAACUGUAAAGGAACAGUAUGUCCAUAAGACAAAAGAGCUGAACUAGGCCAUUCAGCCUGUGAACUUCUCUCCACCACUCCAUCAUGGCUGAAAAAUUAUCUCUUGCAACCUCAUUCUCCUGCCUUCUCUCCAUAAUCUAUAAUCCGGUGACUAAUCAAGAACCUAUCAACCUCCGCUUUAAAUAUACUAAGUGACUUGACCUCCACAGCAAUCCAUGCCAAUGAAUUCCACAGAUUUAUCACCCUCUGGCUGAAGAAAUUCCUCCUCAUCUCCAUUCUAAAUGGACGUCCCUCUAUUCUGAGGCUGUGACCUCUGGCUCUAGACUCACCCACUAUCUUCUCCACAUCCACUCACUCUGGGCCUUUCAACAUUCAAUGGGUUUCAAUCUGAUUCCCCCCCCCCCCCAUUCUUCUAAACUCCAGAGAACACAGGCACAAAAUUA